AUGGUGAAGGGACGCACCGGCCAGCGCGUGAGGCUCUACGUCCGCGGCACCAUCCUCGGAUACAAGAGGUCCAAGUCGAACCAGUACGAGACAGCGUCGCUGGUGCAGAUCGAGGGGGUGAACACCAGGGAGGACGUGGCCUGGUACGGCGGCAAGAGGAUGGCCUACGUCUACAAGGCCAAGACCAAGAGCAACGGCACCCACUACCGCUGCAUCUGGGGCAAGGUCUCCCGCCCCCACGGCAACACCGGCGUCGUCCGCGCCAAGUUCACCUCCAACCUGCCCGCCGAGGCCAUGGGGAAAAAGGUCAGGAUCUUCAUGUACCCGAGCAGCAUCUAA
rnacentral:rRNA from 1 species